UAGGGAAUCUUCCACAAUGGACGAAAGUCUGAUGGAGCAACGCCGCGUGAGUGAUGAAGGGUUUCGGCUCGUAAAACUCUGUUGUUGGAGAAGAACAGGUGAUAGAGUAACUGUUAUCAUCUUGACGGUAUCCAACCAGAAAGCCACGGCUAACUACGUGCCAGCAGCCGCGGUAAUACGUAGGUGGCAAGCGUUGUCCGGAUUUAUUGGGCGUAAAGCGAGCGCAGGCGGUUUUUUAGGUCUGAUGUGAAAGCCUUCGGCUUAACCGGAGAAGGGCAUCGGAAACCGGGAGACUUGAGUGCAGAAGAGGACAGUGGAACUCCAUGUGUAGCGGUGAAAUGCGUAGAUAUAUGGAAGAACACCAGUGGCGAAGGCGGCUGUCUGGUCUGUAACUGACGCUGAGGCUCGAAAGCAUGGGUAGCGAACAGGAUUAGAUACCCUGGUAGUCCAUGCCGUAAAACGAUGAGUGCUAAGUGUU
rnacentral:rRNA from 1 species